AGAGUUAAAGACACAGAAGCUGUUUGUGUGAGGAGUCUCAGACUGUGAGGAGGAGGAUGUGUUCUUCUGAAGAGAGGGACAGACGGGUUUAAGGAGAGUAAACUUCAGAAUAACAUUGUUAUCUUUAUUUUUACUAAGACUAAAAUAAUGUUUGUUUUUGUAGAUGUUGAAAUCCAGAGACAAGAUAACUUCAUUCUUUUGAGACUGAUAACUCAAACUAACUGGAGUUAAGGACACAGAAGUCUGUUUGUGUGAGGAGGAGGUUUUCUCAGCUUCUUCUGAAGAGAGGGAAAGAAAGUUUAAGGCAAGUAAACUUCAUAAUUUCAUGUUAUCAGUUGUUGUUGUUUUUUACCAAGAGUAAAAUAAUGUUUGUUUUUUGUUUUUGUAGAUGUUAAAAGCCAGAGACAUGGGAGAGCAUCAUUCUUUUGAGAUUUUAUAACUCAAACCAACUUUGGAGUUGUCUUGUCUGAUUUGGAGAUUCAUCAUUCUUGGUCUUCCCUCUUAAAGGCCACUGAUGAAGAACAGGCGGUGACUGGAUGAAUGCUGGUCAAAGAAGAGAACAUCCUUUCCCCUAAACUGAUGCAGCAGUGGGUUUAAAGGAGGACACUGCCCUGGAUGAUGUAGAAGAUGUCACAUGUGCUGAUGGGGCUUCUUCAUGACUACAUCAAUUAUGCUAAAGAGAUCAUGAAAAUUGACCGUGAUGCUUGAUCUGUAUUCAUGGACUAUGAAACAAACUGUAAGUGUAUAAUUUGUGAAA